ACUGGAGUGACCUUCCUUGGUGACCCCAGCACAGGAACUGGACUACCCAGGGGCACCAUGAUCUACGCCAACCAACCAGUUCCACAACAGGCUCCAGCGUUUUACUGGGAGCUGGAGAUCUGAUCGUUUGGAGACAGUCAGGAGGAGAGUGGUGCAGUCAUCUCGUUUGGCUUCGCUCCGUCGGCUGACAAGAAAGAUGGAGCCUGGACUAACCCUGUAGGAACAUGCCUCUUCCUAAACAAUGGUAAGGCUGUCCACUACAGUAGGGCCAGUCUACUGCAGUGGAGGAGUGUUAGACUAGACAUCACCCUGAAUCUUGGCUACGUAGCGGGUAUAGGUUGGGAGAGGAC